AUAUAUAUAAACUGGAUAUACAUAUACGACGGAAUGAUUUCUUGAACAGACCUACUUCAAAGGAAUGAAACGAGAGCUGUGAGUAGCACCGAUACCAGGGCGACCGUGCUUGGUAGGUUUGUAGGUAAUGGAAAACUCACCCAAGUAGUGGCCGAUCAUUUCAGGGCGAAUUUCGACCUGGUUGAAGAGCUUACCGUUGUAGAUACCAACAACAGAACCAACCAUCUCGGGAAGGAUGAUCAUGUUACGCAAGUGAGUCUUGACGGUUGCAGGCUUCUCAUUGAGAGGAGCCUCAGACUUGGCCUUACGAAGCUUUCUGAUAAAACGAGAAGCAUUAGGUCCAAGGCCACGGAGCAUACGACGACGAGCACGAGCAUGGAACAAGUCAACCAACUGCUCAGCAGAGAGGUCCAAAAGUUGUUCAAGCUCGACGCCACGAUAGGCGAAGGUACGGAAGGUUCUCUUCUUCCUAAGUUCAGCGACACGAACGGCCUCGUCGUGAUUUUCCUCUGCCAUGGUGUUAAUCAAGGUAUUGAAUGCUAAACCAAUUUCGUUGUUCUCUUGAAACGUUGUGACUGUCUUU